GACGGUCUAGCUCAGUGGUGGAGCACGUGCUUAGCAUACACCAAGUCCUGGGUUCAAUCCCCAGUAUCUCCA
rnacentral:tRNA from 1 species